AUUGAACGCUGGCGGCAUGCCUUACACAUGCAAGUCGAACGGCAGCACGGGAGCAAUCCUGGUGGCGAGUGGCGAACGGGUGAGUAAAGUAUCGGAACGUGCACAGUCGUGGGGGAUAACGUAGCGAAAGUUACGCUAAUACCGCAUACGAUCUAUGGAUGAAAGCGGGGGAUCGCAAGACCUCGCGCGAUUGGAGCGGCUGAUAUCAGAUUAGGUAGUUGGUGGGGUAAAGGCUCACCAAGCCGACGAUCUGUAGCUGGUCUGAGAGGGCGACCAGCCACACUGGGACUGAGACACGGCCCAGACUCCUACGGGAGGCAGCAGUGGGGAAUUUUGGACAAUGGGCGAAAGCCUGAUCCAGCCAUGCCGCGUGCAGGAUGAAGGCCUUCGGGUUGUAAACUGCUUUUGUACGGAACGAAAAGGUUUGGGCUAAUAAGCUGAGCUCAUGACGGUACCGUAAGAAUAAGCACCGGCUAACUACGUGCCAGCCGCCGCAGUAA
rnacentral:rRNA from 1 species